AAAGUCGUAACAAGGUUUCCGUAGGUGAACCUGCGGAAGGAUCAUUAAUUGGCCUUGGGCCGCUCGCAGGGGCCAGUCGUUCGCGAGGACGCCCCUGGGAGUGCUUAGCCCUCGACACACACCUUGUCUAUAUGUACCUUUGUUGUUUCCUCGGCAGGUCCCCUGCCGAAAGGAACCCUACAACCCUUAUGAAUUAGCAUCCAUACCUCUGAUAACCACUAAAUUUUUACAACUUUUAACAAUGGAUCUCUUGGUUCUG
rnacentral:misc_RNA from 1 species